CAGAGGGGAGCUGACGCGCGUGUAGGCGAGCCAGGAAGCGGGUGCGCCAUGGCUGGACGCGAGCAAGAGCAGGGAGAAGACAAGCAGAGAGAGAUGAGCGUCGUGGGGCUUCACAGCACGCGGACGCCAGGGAAGAAGACGCGACCGGACGCCAUGGCUGGGCACAGGGAAGAUGAACGAGCAGAGGGACGGCGACCAGGGAGUUCCGGCCGGCAGAGAAGCAUGGCGCGCGCACAAAGCACAGAAGCUGGGCACGGCCAUGGACUGGGAGAUAGGCUCGGCACCAGGGAGCUCCGAGCAGGGACGCCGCGGUCCGAGCGCCGGACGCCGGGCGGAGCGCGCGACGCAGGAGAAGCUCGAGCGCGCGGGGAAGGGGAUAAGCUCCGUGAAGAAAAAUCUAGAGAUUGGGAGAGACGAGCUGGGGGAAGCAGGUGCUGCAGCGGCUACAAAUCCCACAAGCGCCCGAUCGACUGGGAGGAGAUAAAGGAG
rnacentral:misc_RNA from 1 species